rnacentral:rRNA from 1 species
UACGAAGGGAGCUAGCGUUGUUCGGAAUCACUGGGCGUAAAGCGCACGUAGGCGGAUUGCUAAGUCAGGGGUGAAAUCCUGGAGCUCAACUCCAGAACUGCCUUUGAUACUGGUGAUCUUGAGUCCGGGAGAGGUGAGUGGAACUGCGAGUGUAGAGGUGAAAUUCGUAGAUAUUCGCAAGAACACCAGUGGCGAAGGCGGCUCACUGGCCCGGUACUGACGCUGAGGUGCGAAAGCGUGGGGAGCAAACGGG